CUUUGCCAGACUUUGUUUGGACUUGAAUAUAAAUGCCUCAGGCUGAUCUAUAAAGAUAAAAAGAAAUGAAUAUCCCCCUGAAAAUGUCAUCCUGAAAGACUUGGCCCUUUUUUCUGAAGAAAAUGCCCUGUUUUUUGUCUAUGUAACAAAAUCUGUUACUGUUUCCUUGAACAGCUUCGGCGCUCUGUGCCUGGAGGAAGGGACAUGAAAUCUGGCAGGGUGUGUCAGGAAUGUGCCUGUCGCUACUUCCACAAAACGCUCAGUUUGCCCAAGCUUUCAGCAUUUGGAAAAUGGCAAUUUGCACGCGCCAAGCAAUUAUAUUUUGAACUUUCUUUUUAAGUCAGCACCACUCAGAUUUAGCUAGCAUGCUUCUGGCAUCGAGCAGACUGCAGAAAUGCCAGCACCACAGCGUGACGGCGCGUGCGUCCCCCGUCCAGGAUGGCAAGGCCAAAAGGACUUCCCAGUUUUAGCCUCCUCUGUGAAGGUGGCACCCCGGCAAGGAGGAAAGCGAAGAGGGAGGCCAAGUGAUGGUGAUACACAGCACCCCUAAUCAAACAGUGUACACAAGGUUCUUCUCUAGGAAGAGAUCAGAAGUGUAAGACAAGGAAUCUGCUCUCCCAGAUCCCUGCCUCAGUUGCGGAGGAAUUUAGGUGUGCAGUGAGCAAAACCGAGAACAUCAGAAACAGCAAGGAUGAUCUCACGGUUGAGGUGCCUACAGCGUGGUCAUUGUUGAGGUAUUUGAACAUUUCCUUGCAGAAUGGGAUUCGGUCCCUGCCUCUGCCAGAGGGCUGGUACCUGAUGUUAGGCCUGACUUUGACACUCACGGAUACUGUCGGGGCAGCUGGGCUUUACAUCCAGGUUGUUAAGUAAGUUAAAAAUUCAGGCUGCAGGUGUCUCAGGUGAGUGCUUCUUACUGAUGGAUAGUUUUCGACCUUAGUUUGAGCCAUAGU
rnacentral:lncRNA from 1 species